UUUCAUAGUGAGGAAAUAAAGACACCUUUAAUGCAAUACUGGAGGAUGGGACCUUUUUAACAACAUGGAAAUUACAUUAUAUAAAUUUAAUCUUUUCUCUCUUUAGGGAAGAAAAGUGAAGGGGCUCGCUAAUGAAACACCAGGCAGGCAACCUUCAAACUUACCUUAUUUCAUUUCUGCGGCUCCUUUGAAGGUGGGGGUAGGGAAUAUGAUUUAUUAUUUAUUAAAAUUAUUAAGAUGGGGUAGUCAUAUCUCUCUUUCUCCCCCGCCCCCCCUUUCUCAGGGAUGGAGGAGUUUUGGCAAGCCCGGAGAUGACAACGAAGAUGUAGAGAGGAGGAGAUUAAACGCCUCAAUUCUUGCAAGCCUUUCUUCAGCUUAAGGCACAAGGUUCCAUGCUCCUAAGAAAAAUCCUGGGAAAAAAAGGCAUUUCGUAUCUUUGGGGGUUACGUUUUCUCCGCUUUUUGAGGAAUCAAAGAGGGGCUGCAGCACCCAGCUGCUGCUGGAAAACGGACAUUUCUGCUGGACCCCAUCUAGCCUCGACCUCUGGAUCGGAAAUUUGUGGGGUUUGCACCUCCAGCCUCAAGGAUGGAGAUGUUUUGAAGCCAGUUUCCUGAGUUGGAACCUCCUUCAAUGGCAGGUCACUUCGUCACCG